GAUGAACGCUGGCGGCGUGCCUAAUACAUGCAAGUAGAACGCUGAAGGAAGGAGCUUGCUCUUUCCGGAUGAGUUGCGAACGGGUGAGUAACGCGUAGGUAACCUGCCUGGUAGCGGGGGAUAACUAUUGGAAACGAUAGCUAAUACCGCAUAACAGUAGAUGUUGCAUGAUAUCUACUUAAAAGGUGCAAUUGCACCACUACCAGAUGGACCUGCGUUGUAUUAGCUAGUUGGUGAGGUAACGGCUCACCAAGGCGACGAUACAUAGCCGACCUGAGAGGGUGAUCGGCCACACUGGGACUGAGACACGGCCCAGACCCCUACGGGAGGCAGCAGUAGGGAAUCUGCGGCAAUGGACGGAAGUCUGACCGAGCAACGCCGCGUGAGUGAAGAAGGUGUUCGGAUCGUAAAGCUCUGUUGUAAGAGAAGAACGAGUGUGAGAGUGGAAAGUUCACACUGUGACGGUAUCUUACCAGAAAGGGACGGCUAACUACGU
rnacentral:rRNA from 1 species